UGAGGUGGUUAAGACAGCAGAUGGGAAUGGUAGGGCAGGAGCCUGUGUUAUUCAAUGACAGUAUCAGAGCCAAUAUAACAUAUGGAAAGGAAGGGAAUGCAACAGAGACUGAAAUUUUAGCUGCAUCAGAGUUGGCGAAUGCCCACAAGUUCAUCAGUAGCUUACAACAGGGUUAUGAAACAAGAGUUGGAGAAAGAGGGGUCCAGUUGUCCGGCGGACAGAAGCAACGAGUGGCCAUUGCAAGAGCUAUAGUGAAGGCACCGAAAAUCCUACUUCUAGAUGAAGCGACCAGUGCUCUGGAUGCAGAAUCUGAACGACUAGUUCAAGAUGCGCUGGAUAGAGUUAUGGUGAAUAGAACGACGGUGGUGGUAGCCCAUCGAUUAUCUACAAUCA
rnacentral:misc_RNA from 1 species